rnacentral:rRNA from 1 species
GACGAACGCUGGCGGCGUGCUUAACACAUGCAAGUCGAACGGAAAGGCCCUGCUUUUGUGGGGUGCUCGAGUGGCGAACGGGUGAGUAACACGUGAGUAACCUGCCCUUGACUUUGGGAUAACUUCAGGAAACUGGGGCUAAUACCGGAUAGGAGCUCCUACUGCAUGGUGGGGGUUGGAAAGUUUCGGCGGUUGGGGAUGGACUCGCGGCUUAUCAGCUUGUUGGUGGGGUAGUGGCUUACCAAGGCUUUGACGGGUAGCCGGCCUGAGAGGGUGACCGGCCACAUUGGGACUGAGAUACGGCCCAGACUCCUACGGGAGGCAGCAGUGGGGAAUAUUGCACAAUGGGCGGAAGCCUGAUGCAGCAACGCCGCGUGCGGGAUGACGACCUUCGGGUUGUAAACCGCUUUCGCCUGUGACGAAGCGUGAGUGACGGUAAUGGGUAAAGAAGCACCGGCUAACUACGUG